CCUUCAAGAAACAGAAAGAAGUCUGGUAGGAGUGCAACCUACAAAAACAAGAGAAUGAGGGAGACCCAUAGCAAGUGGAGCUUUAUAAGCCAGUGUGGCGUGCAAAAUGGCCCCAAAAAGAUGUUCACACUCUGAAACCCGUGAAUAUGGCAAAAAGGACCUUGCAGAUAUAAUCAAGGUUAAGACCUUCUGCGAGAGAGGCUAGUCUGGAUUAUCCAGGUGGACCCAAUCUAAUUAGAUGAGCCCCUGAAAGCAGAACACUGUUUACAGCUGGUGGCAGGUGAAGAGGUGAGGCAGAUGGGAAGUCGGAGAGAUUAAAAGCCAGAGAAGGAGGGGUGACACGAGGGAGGUGGGCAGCUUCACGUUGCUGAAAGAGGCUCCUGUCUGUUAACCAGCAAAGAAACGGGGACCUAGCCAUCCAAACUCAAGGAACUAAAUUCUGCCACCAGUUCAUUGGAAGUGAAUCCUCCUGCAGAGCAUCCAGUUUGAGUUACCAAAAGCCAACUGCAGUAAGGAAGUAGAAGAAGAGUCUGACGACUCUUCAGAAGGCUGAUGGCAGCCUAACUCUACGUCGCAAUGCCUCCAUCGUUCCCCUCACUUCCUUUCAUUGUAUUGGCAUCUCAUCAUCCCACCUCAUCACAGGAAGAAGGGGUAUACCCUUAGAAAAAUGGAAUUCUGUAUUCAAAAGACACCAUAGACGAGGACCUGUCAAGUAAGAGGACAAGUGCCAGCGGGAUGAGGUGCAGGGUCAGACAGACUGAGGUUCUGAUCAGGGCUAGAGUUGUGUGGCCCUUAGCAGACUAUUCAGCUGAGGACAGAGCUACUGAUAACUCAGAAUCCUGUUCCAGAGAGAGAGAGAGAGAGAGCGAGCUGGAGAGGGACGCAGAGAGAGG